rnacentral:rRNA from 1 species
GAUGAACGCUGGCGGCGUGCCUAAUACAUGCAAGUCGAGCGAACGGACGAGAAGCUUGCUUCUCUGAUGUUAGCGGCGGACGGGUGAGUAACACGUGGAUAACCUACCUAUAAGACUGGGAUAACUUCGGGAAACCGGAGCUAAUACCGGAUAAUAUUUUGAACCGCAUGGUACAAAAGUAAAAGACGGUCUUGCUGUCACUUAUAGAUGGAUCCGCGCUGCAUUAGCUAGUUGGUAAGGUAACGGCUUACCAAGGCAACGAUGCAUAGCCGACCUGAGAGGGUGAUCGGCCACACUGGAACUGAGACACGGUCCAGACUCCUACGGGAGGCAGCAGUAGGGAAUCUUCCGCAAUGGGCGAAAGCCUGACGGAGCAACGCCGCGUGAGUGAUGAAGGUCUUCGGAUCGUAAAACUCUGUUAUUAGGGAAGAACAUAUGUGUAAGUAACUGUGCACAUCUUGACGGUACCUAAUCAGAAAGCCACGGCUAACUACGU